rnacentral:rRNA from 1 species
AUUGAACGCUGGCGGCAGGCCUAACACAUGCAAGUCGAGCGGAUGAAGGGAGCUUGCUCCUGGAUUCAGCGGCGGACGGGUGAGUAAUGCCUAGGAAUCUGCCUGGUAGUGGGGGAUAACGUCUGGAAACGGGCGCUAAUACCGCAUACGUCCUGAGGGAGAAAGUGGGGGAUCUUCGGACCUCACGCUAUCAGAUGAGCCUAGGUCGGAUUAGCUAGUUGGUGGGGUAAAGGCCUACCAAGGCGACGAUCCGUAACUGGUCUGAGAGGAUGAUCAGUCACACUGGAACUGAGACACGGUCCAGACUCCUACGGGAGGCAGCAGUGGGGAAUAUUGGACAAUGGGCGGAAGCCUGAUCCAGCCAUGCCGCGUGUGUGAAGAAGGUCUUCGGAUUGUAAAGCACUUUAAGUUGGGAGGAAGGGCAGUAAGUUAAUACCUUGCUGUUUUGACGUUACCAACAGAAUAAGCACCGGCUAACUUCGUG